rnacentral:rRNA from 1 species
GAACGCUGGCGGCGUGCUUAACACAUGCCAGUCGAACGGAAAGGCCCUGCUUUUGUGGGGUGCUCGAGUGGCGAACGGGUGAGUAACACGUGAGUAACCUGCCCUUGACUUUGGGAUAACUUCAGGAAACUGGGGCUAAUACCGGAUAGGAGCUCCUGCUGCAUGGUGGGGGUUGGAAAGUUUCGGCGGUUGGGGAUGGACUCGCGGCUUAUCAGCUUGUUGGUGGGGUAGUGGCUUACCAAGGCUUUGACGGGUAGCCGGCCUGGGAGGGUGACCGGCCACAUUGGGACUGAGAUACGGCCCAGACUCCUACGGGAGGCAGCAGUGGGGAAUAUUGCACAAUGGGCGGAAGCCUGAUGCAGCAACGCCGCGUGCGGGAUGACGGCCUUCGGGCUGUAAACCGCUUUCGCCUGUGACGAAGCGUGAGUGACGGUAAUGGGUAAAGAAGCACCGGCUAACUACGUG